rnacentral:rRNA from 1 species
UACGAAGGGGGCGAGCGUUGUUCGGAUUUACUGGGCGUAAAGGGCGCGUAGGCGGCGCGAGAAGUCGAGUGUGAAAGCCCCGGGCUCAACCUGGGAAUUGCGCUCGAUACUCUUGUGCUUGAGUUCGGGAGAGGAGCGUGGAAUUCCCAGUGUAGAGGUGAAAUUCGUAGAUAUCGAGAGGAACACCGGUGGCGAAGGCGGCCUUCUGGACAGUGACUGACGCUGAGACACGAAAGCGUGGGGAGCAAACAGG